UCCAACGAUUAAUUACAACAUGAUGAUUAUCUUUUACAUCUAUAUUCAAUCUAAAUAAAGGGGAAAACUGGGGAAAGGUUUAGAAUAGUAUAUUGAACAGGUCUUCACACAUAAGAAUGCUUCAUACUUGAGCCUCAAAUACAUCAAUGAACAUUGAAAUGUACCUGUAAUUCAGCAAAAAGCAGGAGCCUAUGAGAAAUGCAAUGAAUAUGUCAAGCAAAAUAGCAAAUCAAUCGAACAGUAUACCCAGGUCUUCUACAGUGUUUUUGAGAAAAUUUAAAUCCCAAAAGACUAAAAACAGCAUUGAUACUUUCCUCACAGAUAUAGGAAGAGCUAAUAUGUAUUGUUAUCUCUAGAAUUCUAAAGGAAGGUUUUCAGAUCCUUUUAAAAAUGCACAGAUUGUUUCUUUUAUAGUGGAUCCUUAGGGCAUCAGCUUUUCUCUUGUUUUUCUUUUAGUCCUUGCUUCAGAUUUGCACUUUUCCUAUAUGGUCCUUCAUUUCCUGACUUGUGCCUUAAGUUUGAGGCAGAAAUUGUGUUUUAGUCCCUUACUAGAAGGUUCUGGAGGUUAUUAUCAGAUUUUUUAAAGUUCAAAUACCCCUUAUACCCCUAUUCCUCUUCCUAAUUAACCAACCUGAGGUUUUAACCCUAGUCAGUUAUCUGGUUAAGUCCAUUAUGUUCAAAUUGGGUCAAAUUUGGUCUUGGACCAGCAGGUUUGUUUAAAGUUCAAAAUUGGCCAAAACUAGUUAGGUUUUAAAACAAGUGCCUUAAAAUGGUUUACCCAUAACCAAUCUUUAUAUAGGAUGAUCAUUCAAUAAUAAAUCAAGGAUAAAAAUAACCAAAAGGAUGAACACUUAGUUUGUGAACAAAAUUAUGAAGCAAGUAAGGGUUCAGCGAGAAAGAACAGCUUAAUUAUACAUAAGUACUGAAGACCAAAGUUAUUGUGAAAUGAGAAUCAGGCACUCAGUAGCAUAAACAAAUAACCAAACCAAUCAGAAUAUCAGGGAGUAAACAAAUGAAGAUCAUGAGAUGAAGUUCAACAAAUUAUAAGAAUCACACUGCUCAAAAACUUAAUAUUAACAGGAUGUCAAACCAGAUGAAGAGAUUUCCACACCACUGACAAACAAAGGCAUGUGAAUGUUUAAACUUAUUUCAUAUGAGAUUGUGGACAAACAAACAAAUAACCAAAAGAAAUCAAAUAGACAUAUAACUACUGAACCCAUUUCAUAUGAACUUGUAGAAAACAAACAAGAAAUCAAAACAAUAAAUCAAAGAUGAAGUAAAUAUAUACAAGCAAGGGCAGAAUACUUAGCUUGGGACCAUUCUGUUGGUUCCUGACUUUUUGUAGAGGUUUUCUAACCUCAUAGGACACUGGUAUGAUGUAUAAUAUGUUUAGGAGAUCCGGAAAGGGCUUUUAUGAUUCUGAGACCCCAGUGAGGUCUCAGAUCUAUAUUUCUUCAGUGACUAGUGUUGUUUGGGGGUCAUGGGUAGCAUGGUUGGGGAAAGGGAUUGCUAGGGAUUUCUAGGGAGGAAUUUGACCAAAUUCCGACAAGAUUGAGUUUUAGGGUUAGGCUUCGAAUCAAUAUUCGAAGGGUUUCAGGCAGAUUCGAAAGGUGUGACACAUAUGGUUGGAAAGAGGAGAUUGAGGUGUUUCAGGGGUGUAAGUUUGGAG
rnacentral:lncRNA from 1 species